UCAGAUUGCAGGCUGCAACCCGCCUGCAUGAAGUCGGAAUUGCUGUAAUCGCGGAUCAGCAUGCCGCGGUGAAUACGUUCCCGGGCCUUGUACACACCGCCCGUCACACCAUGAGAGCCGGUAAUACCCGAAGUCCGCAGCCUAACCGCAAGGGGGCGCGGCCGAAGGUAGGACUGGUAAUUAGGGUGAAGUCGUAACAAGGUACC
rnacentral:rRNA from 1 species